rnacentral:rRNA from 1 species
AUCGAACGCUGGCGGCAGGCCUAACACAUGCAAGUCGAACGAGUGGCGGAGGGGUGAGCAAUGUCUGGGAACCUGCCUGAUGGAGGGGGAAAACUACUGGAACCGGUAGAUAAUACCGCAUACUAUCGGUUGUGCUGAGCUGGGAUUAGCGAGUAGGUGGGGUAAAGGCGCACUUAGGCGACGAUCCCUAGCUGGUCGGAGAGGCGGACCGGCAAGACGGUGACUGAGACACGGUCCAGACUCCGACGGGAGGAAGCAGUGGGGAAUAUUGCGCAAUGGGCGCAAGCCUGAUGCAGCCAUGCCGCGUGUAUGAAGAAGGCCUUCGGGUUGUAAAGUACUUUCAGCGGGGAGGCGGUACCCGCAGAAGAAGCACCGGCUAACUCCGUGCCAGCAGCCGCGGUAAUAC